AUUCCAGCUCCAAUAGCGUAUAUUAAAGUUGUUGCAGUUAAAAAGCUCGUAGUUGGAUUUCUGGUUUGAUGCCCUGGCCCGCUGCUAUUUUGGUAGUGUGUGCCGGUUGUGCGUCUGCCAUCCUUCUAGGGAACGUUCCUUCUCUUCACUGAGCCGGGUUCGUGAUCUAGAUCGUUUACUUUGAAAAAAUUAGAGUGUUUAAAGCAGGCUUUUGCUAUGAAUACAUUAGCAUGGAACAAUAAUCUAGGACUUCGGCCAUAUUUUGUUGGUUUCUGUAACUGAAGUAAUGAUUGAUAGGGAUAGUUGGGGCAUUCGUAUUUAACUGUCAGAGAUGAAAUUCUUGGAUUUGUUAAAGACGGACUACUGCGAAAGCAUUUGCCAAGGAUGUUUUCAUCA
rnacentral:rRNA from 1 species